rnacentral:lncRNA from 1 species
CUGGAAGUUGUUAACCUUGGAAGAGCAGUGUUUGCAAUUGUUCUUUGGAGAGAAAGAGAAAACUGAGAAACUCCUUGAAUAUAAAUACGUAAACAUGCUGCAGAUUGUUUAAUCAGUGAUGCAGCUAACUAAUUUAACCCUUUCCUAGGUGACUGAGUUUUCUUCUUAACCGGCCUGAGAAAGCAAGCACGCUGCUCCCACCAUCGUGGAGAGCAGGAUUCAGCAGCCAGGCCUGGGCGGGCAGAUGGGUGAGGCGAGCAGGGCAGGCAGGAGCAUCCUGGCUGAAAGCAGACAGCCUGGGUGGAAUGACCAAAGGGAGCGGCAUGGCUGGGGAUGGUGCGAUCCCCCAUGAUGAUGGUGAAGACACAAAGUCAAGUACGCUCCCUUCUGAAAGUUACUAAAUGAACUUCAAUCAGGACUUCAAUUUUCUUUCUGAAAACUGCUGGCAAAACAAGUGAUUCUGUUCCUGGCCUCAGAAUAAGGAAGAACAUGUACGCUUCAGAUACCUGAAAGGAACUGCUGUAUAGUGAAACUGGUAGUCACUUUUAUUCUUCACUUGGAUUUAUCUACGUACAUGAGAAAAUCACAGCCACAGAUAAGUUCAAUUUUAAUAUAUACCUAUAUUAUAACAAAUUAUGUUCCUACUGCUCUCAAUGAGUUACCUGAGAAAUCCCAGGAUAUUAAUUGCCAGCUGGAUAAAACAGUUGCAAAGUAAUUUCACCCAAAUAUUAGUGUUUAAUGCUAAUUGCUAAAACAUGAAUUUUAGCAGCAGCUACAUUUGAUAGUAGUUCUUUGGUUUCAAAACAGUGAGACUGGAGAGAUGUGGGUCAGGUUUGACAGCACAUCCUUGAAAAGGCCAUUUGCUGUUUGGAACAUUAUUUUCCCCCAGUGUAGAGAAAGGCCGGGCAGCACACAAUUUGUGCUCUGGCUGUCACAACACACAGGAGACAUAUCUUUAUCAGUGAUUAUUAGCUGUCCUCUUCAUCCUUGUAUUUGGUCUUUUAUUUUACUUGGCUGAAAAACAGAUUGGAAGAUAGUGCCUAUGUGUUACUGUGUGUGGCAGCAUGGACAAAAUUAUCUGGCCUUUUCUCCUUUUCCAACUGUGCAAAAACAUUAUUUUUGAUUUUGUAGUCUGCUGCAUGAAAAGUUAUAUUGGGUCUGCAUUAUUUCUGUCCUCUAAUACCUGGAAAAAAACCCACUAAAUAUGUAAUUUUAAUGUCCUUUGCCUCUUUCCAGCUAAGUCUAGAUUUCUAAUUCUGCAGUGUUUAACCUUCUGCAUGAGCUAGGUAUUUCCCUGUUCACAGAACUUCUUUUUCCUUUACUUUUUGAUGCAUGUUUCUUUCAAGAAACCUCACACUGCUCAAUAGCAAAAAGAUACUUGAAAGAAAACAAUGUGCCAUGAGAUCCUGGAAUACACUGUAUCUCACCAUGACUGCCCUCCAGAUGUGGGCAUGUGGGGCAGAGACUUUCUCUCGCUCAGACUGUACGUAAGUGCAGCGCCACUGCUUCACGUUUAGUAACCCCCCAUCAGUCCUCCCUAGAUGCCAUUCUGACCUCACCUCACUGCAAGUUUGUUCUUAUUAGGGGCCUGAUCCAUCAAAGCACUUAAGCACAUGGUUGUAGGUUGUAAACCCACCAGGACUUUUUAUAACCCUGUAAAGUAUGUAGAGUGUGUACCUACGGCACUAUAAAAGAUAGGUUUAAGUGAUGCCUGUGAUAAGAGCUAGCCUUUUUUUUUCAGCAGUUAUCCUCUGUAACACACAGUUUCUGCAGUUUGUGUUGCAUAUAUUUCAAAUUAGGCUGGUUUUGACAAAUCGACUGUUUAUUUUUUAGUUUUGCCUUUUUUGUUUUUGCAUCUGUCUAGAAGAGCAUCUAUACCUAAUAAAUUUUCAAGAUAUUCUUCCUUAUCUGCAUCCCUCAAAAAACCAUUUAGAUUCUGUUAGACACUCUGGAGGAAUAUUUAAUAGUUAAAAUUUUUCAAUUCAGCUUCUUAAAAAAAUUAAAGCAAAUAAGAAAACAGAACCAUCGUGGGCCCUGCAGAUACCAGAGAGAGUAAAUCUUAAGGAUUGUUCUGAGAGCACAAUUUCACCCAGUGCAGAAUUUUAAUUUCUGUAAGCACUGAAAAUAAAAAGUAAUUAAACCUCUGCAUAUUCCUCGUGUACUAUAAAUAUAUUAAUAAAAUAGGCAAAGAACACCAACUCCUAAAUUAUUAGCGGUAGUAAAAUGCUGAAUAUUGAAAUAGUUUAAUUUAUUCAUUUAUAAUUUUUAUCAGGCUUAAAUAGGCCUCUAGGAGCAAUUUAACCAUUACAAUAACACAAUUGUUCAGUACACUCAGCAGUUAGAUACACAGAUAUCAUUGCACAAAACCAAAUAGCAAACUACUGGCAAAAUCCCAUGUUCCAAUGUAAAGUGAUGAUGAAUUUACACAAAGACAGCAGAUUGUUCUCUCCUGCCUCCUUUAUGAAUGAGUAACUUCUGUAUUUCAGUGUAAAAACUACUGGUCAGUGAAUCAGUGCCUCACUUUCAGCUGGGACAGAGUUGUUUUCUUUAGGGUGUCUAAUGUAUGAUGCUGUGUAUUGGUUCCAGGAGAAAAACAAUGCUGAUAACACACCAAUGUUUAUAGUUGCUGCUAAGCAGGGUUGUACAGAGAACCAAGGCCAUUCUCAGCAAAGGGCCCAAGGAGAAGGGAUGGAACAGAAUUAGGACAGCUGACACAAACUGACCCAAGGGAUAUUCCAUACUAUACCAAGCAGAAGAAAUUUUGAAGGGAGUGGGCAUUCAUCUCUCUCUCUUACGCCGCUUGGAGGACUAGCUGAGCAUUGGUCAAGGGGUGGUGAGCAAGUGCUUCUGCAUCCCCUGUUAUUUACAUUCACACAUAUACAUACAGUCAUAACUAUUAUCCUUUUCUCUAUCUUAGUAAAUAGUUUUAUCUCAACCCACAAGCCCACAAAUUCUAUUUCUUUUUUCUUUUUUCCUGAUUUUUUCCCCCAUCACACAGGGAAGGAGGGCAGUGAGCAAACCACUGCAUGGUGCUCACUCACCUGCCAGGUAAAACCACAGCAAUCAGUGCAAUAGGUCUGGUUCAAUGCCCACAGAAAGAGACAAGCUCUAAUUGUAAAAAUUCUGGCUAACCAGGGUUUCUGUAAGCUAGUAUAUAUAGAGCGUAAACCUAAGCCCAGAAUGAACUUAGAUCUGUCUUGGAUGUAUUUUAGAGAAAAUUGGUUAAGUCUAACGCCACAUAUAAAGAAUAGAUGAUACAUAUUAGUAGCAGAGACAAGUGUAUAUCCUUUAGUCUAUGUAUUAAAUAAUACAUCUUCAGAAAAAAGGUAUUCAUGUCUAAGGAAAAACCUACAACAUAACAUCUCCAAGAAUUUCAAGUGGUAAUUAUUCUUUCGGAUAAGUAUUAAAAGACAUUGAAAUGAAUGCAUACCUCCUGUUACACUCAGAAUUCUACCAGUAGAAGACAGCUAGUAUCAAAGUAGGGAAAAAGUGAGUGGAUCAGAGAUCUGAAUAGUCUCUUCAUAAAGAUGUAGCUUAAUAUCUCGCUUAUAUCCAAUUUGGGAAGGCUUCCUCCAGAAAUAUAGUAUCAUCGUUAAAGGUUGAAAGAGAUCUCAGGAGGUCUCUAGUCUAACCCUCUCCUCAAAACAGGAUCAGUUCUAAUGUCAGACCAAGUUACUUAGGUCUCUAACUGGUCUGAUCUUGAAACCUCCAUGGCUGGAGACUGCACAGCCUUUGGCCAUCUCAUUCCGCUGCUUGAGUGACCUGAUGCCAUGAGUCCAGAACCACUGCAGGAGUACCAAUGAAAAAAUCUGAUUUCACAAACUGCCUCCAAAUCACCCUGAGGAAACACCAUUUACGUAUACUGUGCAGCUUGCAUUUUAUUUACUUCUUCUUUAAAGGAGAGCUCACUAGGUGAAUAUAAUUAUUAACUAUUACUUUUGGUAGAGGCUCCCUCAACACCUAAGCAAACAAUAUACUUUAUCAUAUUUUGAACAUUUCUUAACCAAGAGAGGUAGAAAGAGUUUUCUAAUUUAUGUAAAUGCUAAGGUCACCACCUGAAUGCGAAAGCACGAAGUUACUGACUUAGGCCUUAAUCUGAUCUAAUCUUAGAUGCAUCUGUCCCCACUGAAAAGCAUAACAGUGCCUGGACAUUAGAUGGCUGCUGCAGAAUCUGCUGCUAUGUUCACCCUAUUCCACGGAUGGAACACAUCCCCUGGACAUACCUCCAGUGCCAUCUCCUCACGAAGAUGUUUAUAAUAUUCAUGUGCUGUGGAAACAGAACAGAAGCCCAUGUUUCAGCCAGGAUUGCAAUGGCCUCCUCCCAUGGGAAUAGCAGCUGCAUAAAUAGGAGGGAAGCCCUCAGUGGAAUUGCUUCCAACACCUUUCUAAUGGAAAUAAUGAUUUGCAAAGUCCAGUUUAUGCCUUUGCCACGUAAUUAGUAGCCAAGAUUAAAAACAUUGUUCCAACUCCCAGCAUCGUUGAAAUCUGGCAAAACCUUAAAUAUUCCGCUGUGUUCCAAGAAGGUAGCCCAUAAGUGAUCAUUGUAAGGACAGUCUUAGCCAGUUCAGUCAAGCCCUUGAAUCAAUCAACACUUAUUAUAUGGAAAUUAACCAGUUUGAUGUCAAUUAGUGGAAAUUUGUUAGCAGACAUAACCUAUGAGAUGUUUUAUUUUGAAUUCCUUGCUCUCCCCACUGAAGCUAGCUAAGAUAGGGAUAAGGACCCAGCCACACAUUUCUGAAGGCCUAGAGUAGAAUUAAUUAAAAAAGAAGUGGAGUGAAGCUGUAGUCAAAUACACAAAAACUCUACUGUCUACAGGGCACAAGAAGAACAAGGAACUGGAUAUCAGAUUUUUUUCUUGGAAGGAAUCAAUUUCUAGUCACAGAUUUUGGUGCAUAACAGUCUAUUCUGUAUGUGUCAAUACUGAGUAUAUGGAGAUAAAAAAAAGUGUAUAUAGUCUGAUGGCAAUUUGUACCCUCAUUUUGUGCUACUUUAAAGGUCCUUUUCUACCAUGUUCUUAUGCGUUAUAUCCUCGUAUUAAGAAAGUAAUAGUUUUUAAAUUAAAAAUGUCUGACUUGAUCAUUAAUUUUCCUCCUAAAAAUAACCUAAAAUAACCUUAAAAAAAAAAAAAGAAAAGUCUGGCUACUCAAGCCAGAGAGGGUGAUGAAAGAUUUCCUCAGCUCUUAAGAACAUUACCUGUCUGGCAUAUGAGGUGGAUUUGACUUUACUGUAAAUUCUAACUUUUGUUUAAAAUUAAUAAAGUACCCUCAUGUACCCUUCUACCUGUGUAUAUCAGCAUUCAGUAUGACAACCUGGUGCUCUACAAUUCAAAUUAAAUAUUAGGACUGUGGGUUCAAUCUCAAAGUUUUACAGCAAUCCUAAAACACUCACAGCUAAGAAGGAAACACAGGAUCAGAGUCUUGCUAUAAUAUGGAAAACUCCUGGCAGUCUUGAAGCCAGGGUU